rnacentral:rRNA from 1 species
GCUGACGAGUGGCGGACGGGUGAGUAAUGUCUGGGAAACUGCCUGAUGGAGGGGGAUAACUACUGGAAACGGUGGCUAAUACCGCAUAACGUCGCAAGACCAAAGAGGGGGACCUUCGGGCCUCUUGCCAUCAGAUGUGCCCAGAUGGGAUUAGCUAGUUGGUGAGGUAACGGCUCACCAAGGCGACGAUCCCUAGCUGGUCUGAGAGGAUGACCAGCCACACUGGAACUGAGACACGGUCCAGACUCCUACGGGAGGCAGCAGUGGGGAAUAUUGCACAAUGGGCGCAAGCCUGAUGCAGCCAUGCCGCGUGUAUGAAGAAGGCCUUCGGGUUGUAAAGUACUUUCAGCGGGGAGGAAGGUGUUGUGGUUAAUAACCACAGCAAUUGACGUUACCCGCAGAAGAAGCACCGGCUAACUCCGUGCCAGCAGCCGCGGUAAUACGGAGGGUGCAAGCGUUAAUCGGAAUUACUGGGCGUAAAGCGCACGCAGGCGGUCUGUCAAGUCGGAUGUGAAAUCCCCGGGCUCAACCUGGGAACUGCAUUCGAAACUGGCAGGCUUGAGUCUUGUAGAGGGGGGUAGAAUUCCAGGUGUAGCGGUGAAAUGCGUAGAGAUCUGGAGGAAUACCGGUGGCGAAGGCGGCCCCCUGGACAAAGACUGACGCUCAGGUGCGAAAGCGUGGGGAGCAAACAGGAUUAGAUACCCUGGUAGUCCACGCCGUAAACGAUGUCUACUUGGAGGUUGUGCCCUUGAGGCGUGGCUUCCGGAGCUAACGCGUUAAGUAGACCGCCUGGGGAGUACGGCCGCAAGGUUAAAACUCAAAUGAAUUGACGGGGGCCCGCACAAGCGGUGGAGCAUGUGGUUUAAUUCGAUGCAACGCGAAGAACCUUACCUGGUCUUGACAUCCACAGAACUUUCCAGAGAUGGAUUGGUGCCUUCGGGAACUGUGAGACAGGUGCUGCAUGGCUGUCGUCAGCUCGUGUUGUGAAAUGUUGGGUUAAGUCCCGCAACGAGCGCAACCCUUAUCCUUUGUUGCCAGCGAUUAGGUCGGGAACUCAAAGGAGACUGCCAGUGAUAAACUGGAGGAAGGUGGGGAUGACGUCAAGUCAUCAUGGCCCUUACGACCAGGGCUACACACGUGCUACAAUGGCGCAUACAAAGAGAAGCGACCUCGCGAGAGCAAGCGGACCUCAUAAAGUGCGUCGUAGUCCGGAUUGGAGUCUGCAACUCGACUCCAUGAAGUCGGAAUCGCUAGUAAUCGUGGAUCAGAAUGCCACGGUGAAUACGUUCCCGGGCCUUGUACACACCGCCCGUCACACCAUGGGAGUGGGUUGCAAAAGAAGUAGGUAGCUUAACCUUCGGGAGGGCGCUUACCACUUUGUGAUUCAUGACUGGGGUGAAGUCGUAACAAGGUAACCGUAGGGGAACCUGCGGUUGGAUCACCUCCUUACCUUAAAGAAGC